GCACCCAUAGUAAAAUGGAUAUUACGUCGGUUUCCGGAGCCGAAAGUCCAGGUUCGAUUCCUGGUGGGUGUA
rnacentral:tRNA from 1 species